rnacentral:rRNA from 1 species
UACGUAGGGCGCAAGCGUUGUCCGGAAUUAUUGGGCGUAAAGAGCUCGUAGGCGGCCUGUUGCGUCCGCUGUGAAAUCCCGGGGCUUAACCCCGGGCUUGCAGUGGAUACGGGCAGGCUGGAGGCAGGCAGGGGAGAACGGAAUUCCCGGUGUAGCGGUGAAAUGCGCAGAUAUCGGGAGGAACACCGGUGGCGAAGGCGGUUCUCUGGACCACAACUGACGCUGAGGCGCGAAAGCUAGGGGAGCAAACAGG